CAUGUUUGGUGGAGGAAGGUGAUGAAGAACCAUUAAAUUCCCCAGAUGACUGUAUUAUGCAAGGUUGAUUCAAAAUUUAAUUGAGUGACCUGGACAAGUUGUUGGGUCAUUUGCCUGAUGCUAAGAAGGAAGAAUUGUCUACCUUGAUUUUGUCAUUUCCUUCUUUGUUUUCAGACACUCCCUCUCAAACCCAUCUUAUAGAACACGACAUUGAUGUGGGGGAUGCUGAACCAAUUCGCCAGAGGAUUUACCAUGUCUCUCAAGAAAAACGCACUCAGUUGGAGUCAGAGGUGAAAUAUAUGUUGGAACACAACAUUGCAGAACCCUCAUGUUCAAGUUGGGCAUCCCCAUGUGUGCUAGGGAGCAAGCAAGACCAAACUGUUAGACCAUGCAAAGAUUUUCGCAAAGUAAAUAAAGUCACCAAGCCAGACUCCUAUCCACUUCCCCGUAUGGAGGAUUGUGUUGAUCAGCUCCCCGUCUGGGUGAUCCAGUCCAGUUGCAAGUAGAUGCCAGCAAUAUGGGAGCUGGGACAGUCCUCUUGCCGACUGGUGCUGAUGGUAUUGAUCAUCCGGUCAGUUUCUUCUCCAGGAAAUUCAACUCUUACCAGUUGAAUUACUCCAUUGUGGAAAAAGAGGCCAACAUGGCUUGCACUUUAGAUACCACCUUACAUCACUGAUACUAACAUUCCCAUAUUUAAGUAUGAAUUGUUAUGUUUAGUUAAAUAAAUAUCCUUUUUGCACCGUUA